CCAACAGGGAUUGCCCUAGUAACGGCGAGUGAAGCGGCAACAGCUCAAAUUUGAAAUCUGGCCUCCUCCGGGGGUCCGAGUUGUAAUUUGCAGAGGGUGCUUUGGCUUUGGCGGCGGUCUAAGUUCCUUGGAACAGGACAUCGCAGAGGGUGAGAAUCCCGUACGUGGGCGCCUGCCACUGCCGUGUAAAGCCCCUUCGACGAGUCGAGUUGUUUGGGAAUGCAGCUCUAAAUGGGAGGUAAAUUUCUUCUAAAGCUAAAUACCGGCCAGAGACCGAUAGCGCACAAGUAGAGUGAUCGAAAGAUGAAAAGUACUUUGGAAAGAGAGUAAAAUAGCACGUGAAAUUGUUGUAGAGGAAGCGCUUGCAGCCAGACUUCCCCGUAGUCGCUCACCCGGGCUCCUGCCCGGGGCACUCUUCUGCGGGGAGGCCAGCAUCAGUUUGGGCGGUCGGAUAAAGGCCUCUGUCACGUAUCUCCCUCCGGGGAGACCUUAUAGGGGAGGCGCAAUGCGACCAGCCCGGACUGAGGUCCGCGCAUCUGCCAGGAUGCUGGCGUAAUGGCUGUAAGCGGCCCGUCUUGAAACACGGACCAAGGAGUCUAACAUCUAUGCGAGUGUUUGGGUGUCAAGCCCGGGCGCGCAAUGAAAGUGAACGGAGGUGGGAACCCUCGGGUGCACCAUCGACCGAUCCUGAUGUCUUCGGAUGGAUUUGAGUAAGAGCAUAGCUGUUGGGACCCGAAAGAUGGUGAACUAUGCUUGAAUAGGGUGAAGCCAGAGGAAACUCUGGUGGAGGCUCGCAGCGGUUCUGACGUGCAAAUCGAUCGUCAAAUUUGGGCAUAGGGGCGAAAG
rnacentral:rRNA from 1 species